CCUACGGGGGGCUGCAGUGAGGAAUCUUCCGCAAUGGGCGCAAGCCUGACGGAGCGACGCCGCGUGAACGAUGAAGGCCGCAAGGUUGUAAAGUUCUUUUCGGGAAGGAGAAUAAGGGGAGCAGGCAAUGGCUUUCCGAUGCCGUGAAUCCCGGAAUAAGCCCCGGCUAACUACGUGCCAGCAGCCGCGGUAACACGUAGGGGGCGAGCGUUGUUCGGAAUCAUUGGGCGUAAAGGGCGCGCAGGCGGCGUAUAAAGUCUGGCGUGAAAGUCCCCGGCUCAACCGGGGGAUAGCGUUGGAAACUGGUAUGCUUGAGUACGAGAGGGGAUGGCGGAAUUCCAGGUGUAGGGGUGAAAUCUGUAGAUAUCUGGAGGAACACCGACGGCGAAGGCAGCCAUCUGGUUCAGUACUGACGCUGAGGCGCGAAGGUGCGGGGAGCAAACAGGCUUAGAUACCCCAGUAGUC
rnacentral:rRNA from 1 species